rnacentral:rRNA from 1 species
CGCUGGCGGCAGGCUUAACACAUGCAAGUCGAACGGUAGCAGGAGAAAGCUUGCUUUCUUGCUGACGAGUGGCGGACGGGUGAGUAAUGCUUGGGAAUCUGGCUUAUGGAGGGGGAUAACUACGGGAAACUGUAGCUAAUACCGCGUAGAAUCGGAAGAUGAAAGUGCGGGACCGCAAGGCCGCAUGCCAUGAGAUGAGCCCAAGUGGGAUUAGGUAGUUGGUGGGGUAAAGGCCUACCAAGCCUGCGAUCUCUAGCUGGUCUGAGAGGAUGGCCAGCCACACUGGAACUGAGACACGGUCCAGACUCCUACGGGAGGCAGCAGUGGGGAAUAUUGCGCAAUGGGGGGAACCCUGACGCAGCCAUGCCGCGUGAAUGAAGAAGGCCUUCGGGUUGUAAAGUUCUUUCGGUAUUGAGGAAGGUUGAUGUGUUAAUAGUACAUCAAAUUGACGUUAAAUACAGAAGAAGCAC